rnacentral:misc_RNA from 1 species
GGACACUGCUCGUGUUGAGCUGUUAUCCUUCCACCCCUGUGCUCAAGUUCCAGAGCAUGGUAAUGAGAAGCAAUCACUUAUGUUCUCACCACCAUUAGGAAGUUUUGUAUUGAUGCGUUAUCAGGCAUUUUGUGGUAUGGGACCUCCAAUUAAGGGUUUUUAUCAGCUUUCAAUGGUUUCUGAAAAUGAAGGUGCAUUUUUGUUUAAGUUACGGCUCAUGGAAGGUUAUAGAGCUCCUCUGUCAAUGGAUUUCUGCACUGUGACAAUGCCCUUCCCUAGGAGAAGGGUACUUUCUUUUGAUGGCACACCUUCUAUUGGAACAGUUUCAGUUGCUGAACACUUGGUUGAAUGGAAAAUUAUAACGACUGGUCGAGGAAUUUCAGGAAAAAGUGUUGAGGCAACAUUUCCAGGAACAGUGAAGUUCGCUCCAUGGCAACCUCAAAGAUUGCCUACCUCAGGGGCAGUACUUGGGAAUAUGGAAGAUGAAGAGAGUGAUGCUGAAACAGAGUCAACAAAUAAUAUGGCAAAUGUGGAAGAUUUCUUAAUGGAAAAAAUGAACAAGGAUCUUCAAGCAGUUGAUUUGGAGGAGCCAUUUUGCUGGCAAGC